GUCUACGGCCAUACCACCCUGAACGCGCCUGAUCUCCUCUGAUCUCGGAAGCUCAGCAGCAUCGGGCCUGGUUAGUACUUGGAUGGGAGAAGACAUUUGUAAAUCAAGGGUGAAAGUUU
rnacentral:rRNA from 1 species